rnacentral:rRNA from 1 species
AGUGAACGCUGGCGGUAGGCCUAACACAUGCAAGUCGAACGGCAGCACAGUAAGAGCUUGCUCUUACGGGUGGCGAGUGGCGGACGGGUGAGGAAUACAUCGGAAUCUACUUUUUCGUGGGGGAUAACGUAGGGAAACUUACGCUAAUACCGCAUACGACCUACGGGUGAAAACAGGGGAUCUUCGGACCUUGCGCGAUUGAAUGAGCCGAUGUCGGAUUAGCUAGUUGGCGGGGUAAAGGCCCACCAAGGCGACGAUCCGUAGCUGGUCUGAGAGGAUGAUCAGCCACACUGGAACUGAGACACGGUCCAGACUCCUACGGGAGGCAGCAGUGGGGAAUAUUGGACAAUGGGCGCAAGCCUGAUCCAGCCAUACCGCGUGGGUGAAGAAGGCCUUCGGGUUGUAAAGCCCUUUUGUUGGGAAAGAAAAGCAGCAGGUUAAUACCCCGCUGUUCUGACAGUACCCAAAGAAUAAGCACCGGCUAACUUCGUG